rnacentral:misc_RNA from 1 species
GGAGGAGGAGGAGGAGGAGGAGGGGGGCUUUUUGGUAAAUAAGAGGUUGUGUGGGGUUAGAGAGUGAGAAUGAGAGUGGAGGACUUGAUCAAGGAAACAGAGGAUGCCAGAGUUAUCAUUUUGGUAUUGGUUUCUGUGGAGAGAUAGGCAUUUAAGUUUAGAGACAGAAAGCGGUGGUCUUCUGUUUGGCGAGCGAGAAAGUGGAGAGGAAUAGUGGAAGAAUGUGGAAAUGAGUGAAGCAGCAGCGGCCAUUUCUUUGUUAGCGGCUUUUCUUCGUUUAUUUUAGUUUUUGACAAAAGAAGAGUGCCUCGACUCUCGAGCCUCCGGCUCUAGCCUACCCAUGUGUACGCGUUCGUUUUUCAUUGGAAAAAAUAUUAUUGUAUUGUACUUGAAUUACAAUUGUGAAGCAAUUAUUCAUCCAAUGUAGCCACCAUAUAACAAAAUGCAACAACAAAUUAUAUAAUUUGU